rnacentral:rRNA from 1 species
UUGACCUCGGAUCAGGUAGGAAUACCCGCUGAACUUAAGCAUAUCAAUAAGCGGAGGAAAAAACUCUGCCAUGUUUUUUUCCAAACAAAAAAAUUUAAUCUGGGGGGUCUGCCACCAAGAGAUAUUUAAUGCUCUUUAACUAUGAUCUGAAGUCAAGUGGGACUACCCGCUGAACUUAAGCAUAUAUAAGCGGGAGGAAA